UACAGAGGUGGCAAGCGUUUGUUCGGAAUUAUUGGGCGUAAAGAGCUCGUAGGCGGUUUGUCGCGUCUGCCGUGAAAGUCCGGGGCUCAACUCCGGAUCUGCGGUGGGUACGGGCAGACUAGAGUGAUGUAGGGGAGACUGGAAUUCCUGGUGUAGCGGUGAAAUGCGCAGAUAUCAGGAGGAACACCGAUGGCGAAGGCAGGUCUCUGGGCAUUAACUGACGCUGAGGAGCGAAAAGCAUGGGGGAGCGAACAGG
rnacentral:rRNA from 1 species